rnacentral:rRNA from 1 species
CAGUAGCCGCGGUAAUACGGAGGAUCCAAGCGUUAUCCGGAUUUAUUGGGUUUAAAGGGUGCGUAGGCGGCCUGUUAAGUCAGGGGUGAAAGACGGUAGCUUAACUAUCGCAGUGCCUUUGAUACUGAUGGGCUUGAAUACACUUGAGGUAGGCGGAAUGUGACAAGUAGCGGUGAAAUGCAUAGAUAUGUCACAGAACACCAAUUGCGAAGGCAGCUUACUAAAGUGUCAUUGACGCUGAGGCACGAAAGCGUGGGGAUCAAACAGGAUUAGAUACCCCCGUAGUCCCUGUCUCUUAUAC